rnacentral:rRNA from 1 species
CACCUAACAGCUAGCCCACCCACCCCACUAACAAGCCAACAUUAAUACCCACCGCCAUCACCCAGCCAAAACCAACUAAACCAUUCUUCCCCCCUAGUACGGGCGACGGAAAAGGAAUUAGGAGCAAUAAAGAAGUACCGCAAGGGAAAGCUGAAAAAGAAAAUGAAAUAACCCAGUAAAGUACGAAAAAGCAAAGCUCAAACCUUGUACCUUUUGCAUCAUGGACUAGCCAGAAGCAUUUAAGCAAAAAGAAUUUUAGUUUAAACCCCCGAAACUAGGUGAGCUACUCCAAGACAGCCUAUUAUCAGGGCACACCCAUCUCUGUGGCAAAAGAGUGGGAAGAGCUUUGAGUAGAGGUGAUAAGCCUACCGAACCUAGUUAUAGCUGGUUGCCUAAAAAUUGAAUAAAAGUUCAGCCCUUUACCUUUUCAAGCCCAACCUGAGCACAUCUAACCCAGGCCGCAAGAAGGCUAAAGAAGUUAAUCAAAAGGGGUACAGCCCUCUUGAUAAAAGACACAACUUUAAAUAGCAGGCAAAAGAUCAAAAGACAUCAAGGAAACUUAUUCGAGUGGGCCUAAAAGCAGCCACCUCCACGGAAAGCGUUAAAGCUCAAAUACCACCCCUCCCCUUAUCCCCACGACUAUAUCUUAAACCUCUUAACCUAUUAGGCCUCCCUAUGCGAACAUAGGAGAGAACAUGCUAGCAUGAGUAAUAAGAGGGACCGACCCUCUCCAAGCACCAGUGUACAUCAGAACGAACCCCCACUGAAAAUUAACGCCCCCAACACAAGAGGGUAUUGAAUAACGCACCCGCAAACCCAGAAACCCAUUCAACAACUACUGAACGUUAACCCCACACAGGAGUGCCCCAGGAAAGACUAAAAGAAAAAGAAGGAACUCGGCAAACACAGCCUCGCCUGUUUACCAAAAACAUCGCCUCUUGAACCCCACACUAUAAGAGGUCCCGCCUGCCCUGUGACUAUAAGUUUAACGGCCGCGGUAUUCUGACCGUGCGAAGGUAGCGCAAUCACUCGUCUUUUAAAUGGAGACCUGUAUGAAAGGCACAACGAGGGCUAAGCUGUCUCCUUUCUCCAGUCAAUGAAAUUGAUCUGCCCGUGCAGAAGCGAGCAUGUUAACAUAAGACGAGAAGACCCUAUGGAGCUUUAGACGCAGAACAGACACACUAAUAACAGUCCUACAAAAUGACUUUGAACUACAGUACCCACUUCUGUUCCCUUGUCUUCGGUUGGGGCGACCGCGGGGAACCAAAAAUCCCCCAUGUGGAAUGAGAACAUCCACCCUAAAACUAGGAAUACCCCCCUAAUAAACAGAACAACUCUGACCAAUAACUGACCCGGCCUACAGGCCGAUCAACGGACCCAGUUACCCUAGGGAUAACAGCGCAAUCCUCUUUUAGAGCCCAUAUCGACAAGAGGGUUUACGACCUCGAUGUUGGAUCAGGACAUCCUAAUGGUGCAGCCGCUAUUAAGGGUUC